AUUGAACGCUGGCGGCAGGCUUAACACAUGCAAGUCGAGCGGAGAUGAGGUGCUUGCACCUUAUCUUAGCGGCGGACGGGUGAGUAAUGCUUAGGGAUCUGCCUAUUAGUGGGGGACAACAUUCCGAAAGGAAUGCUAAUACCGCAUACGUCCUACGGGAGAAAGCAGGGGAUCUUCGGACAUUGCGCUAAUAGAUGAGCGUAAGGCGGAUUAGCUAGUUGGUGGGGUAAAGGCCUACCAAGGCGACGAUCUGUAGCGGGUCUGAGAGGAUGAUCCGCCACACUGGGACUGAGACACGGCCCAGACUCCUACGGGAGGCAGCAGUGGGGAAUAUUGGACAAUGGGGGGAACCCUGAUCCAGCCAUGCCGCGUGUGUGAAGAAGGCCUUAUGGUUGUAAAGCACUUUAAGCGAGGAGGAGGCUACUGAGACUAAUACUCUUGGAUAGUGGACGUUACUCGCAGAAUAAGCACCGGCUAACUCUGUGCCAGCCGCCGCAGUAACAC
rnacentral:rRNA from 1 species